GCGCCUAUAGCCAAGUGGUAAGGUCACAGACUGCAAAUCUGUUAUGCGUUGGUUCGAAUCCGACUAGGCGCU
rnacentral:tRNA from 1 species